rnacentral:rRNA from 1 species
GACGAACGCUGGCGGCGUGCUUAACACAUGCAAGUCGAACGGAAAGGCCCUGCUUUUGUGGGGUGCUCGAGUGGCGAACGGGUGAGUAACACGUGAGUAACCUGCCCUUGACUUUGGGAUAACUUCAUGAAACUGGGGGUAAUACCGGAUAGGAGCUCCUGCUGCAUGGUGGGGGUUGGAAAGUUUCGGCGGUUGGUGAUGGACUCGCGGCUUAUCAGCUUGUUGGUGGGGUAGUGGCUUACCAAGGCUUUGACGGGUAGCCGGCCUGAGAGGGUGACCGGCCACAUUGGGACUGAGAUACGGCCCAGCCUCCUACGGGAGGCAGCAGUGGGGAAUAUUGCACAAUGGGCGGAAGCCUGAUGCAGCAACGCCGCGUGCGGGAUGACGGCCUUCGGGUUGUAAACCGCUUUCGCCUGUGACGAAGCGUGAGUGACGGUAAUGGGUAAAGAAGCACCGGCUAACUACGUG